rnacentral:misc_RNA from 1 species
UGGUUCUGGCAUCGAUGAAGAACGCAGCGAAAUGCGAUAAGUAAUGUGAAUUGCAGAAUUCAGUGAAUCAUCGAAUCUUUGAACGCACAUUGCGCCCUGUGGUAUUCCGCAGGGCAUGCCUGUUCGAGCGUCAUUUAACCACUCACGCCUAGCGUGGUAUUGGGGCACGCGGUCUCGCGGCCCUCAAAAUUAGUGGCGGCGCCGGUGGGCUCUAAGCGUAGUACAUACUCCCGCUAUAGAGUUCUCCCGGUGGCUCGCCAGAACCCCCAAUUUUUUUUUUUUACAGGUUGACCUCGGAUCAGGUAGGGAUACCCGCUGA